rnacentral:lncRNA from 1 species
CAAAUCAGUCGAUAAGUUUGACAUGUACGAAGUACUGAAUCCUGUGUCUAGGGUACUUACAUGGUGCACAUUAUACUUAGUCAUCCAAUCAAUACUAACUUUAGUAAAGAUUUUUGAAUCCGGCAGAUAUAUCAAGUACUCUUCUGGACCGCCACAUUGGUACACCUCUCCAAGGUGUUGGGUUGCUUCCACGGACGCCUCCAUAAUUGAUGCUACUGUAUCAUCAUUAGAGCUAAGUUUAUUG